rnacentral:rRNA from 1 species
GGAAUCUUGCGCAAUGGAGGAAACUCUGACGCAGCCACGCCGCGUGCCGGAAGACGGCCCUAUGGGUUGUAAACGGCUUUUUAAUGGGAAGAACGUACGAGAUUCGUCUUGUAGUGACGGUACCAUUGGAAUAAGCCCCGGCUAACUCCGUGCCAGCAGCCGCGGUAAUACGGAGGGUGCAAGCGUUGUCCGGAAUCAUUGGGUGUAAAGGGUGCGUAGGCGGGAGCCUAAGUCUGUGGUGAAAUCUUGCCGCUUAACGGUAAAAUUGCCAUGGAUACUGGGUUUCUUGAGUACAGGAGAGGUCGGUGGAAUUCGUAGUGUAGCGGUGAAAUGCAUAGAUAUUACGAAGAACACCAGUGGCGAAGGCGGCCGACUGGACUGUAACUGACGCUGAGGCACGAAAGCGUGGGGAGCG